rnacentral:lncRNA from 1 species
CUUUUUGAAGCGCCGCCGGCGCCGCAGGAAGCUGCCGUUCUCGAACAUGUUGUAGGAGUCCGGGUCCAGGGUCCAGUAACUGCCCUUGCCGGGCUUCUUGUCGUCGCGGGGCACCUUGACGAAGCACUCGUUGAGCGAGAGGUUGUGGCGGAUGCUGUUCUGCCAGCCCUGCUUGUUCUCCCGGUAGAAGGGGAAGCGGUCCAUGAUGAACUGGUAGAUGCCGUUCAAGGUGAUCUUCUUCUCGGGCGCGUUCUGGAUGGCCAUGGUGAUGAGCGCGAUGUAGCUGUAGGGCGGCUUCACCAGGUCCUUAGGCGCCGCGGGCUGGUGGUGGUGGUAGGGCGCGUAGGAGCGGCCCAUCCCCGCGCUGUACUGCUCCGGGUGGCCGGAAUAGACGCCCAUGGGGCUGGCCAUGCCGCCGUAGCUGCCCGCAGCCCGGUAGUAAUUCUGCUCGCUCAGGUAGGGCACCACUCCCAGGGCGUUGGGGUCGGACACGGAGUAGCGCGCCUGCAUGCUGCUUCCGAGACGGCUCGCCGGCGCCCUCGCGCACGGACUGCGGCCGGGGGAGCGAGGGGGGCCCUGAGAGCGAGAGAGCGCGAGAGAGCCAGAGGGGGAGAGGAGGGGAGCGGGAGGGGCGGCCCCGGGCUCCUGGCAGCCUCCGGGGCGAGGGUGCGCGGGCGGCGGCGCUCGGGCCGAGCAGGGGCGCGCGCUUUCAGCGGACCGGGCGGAUCGGCAUCCUGGAGGGCGCGCCCCGGGCAAGCGCAGCGCCGGCCCCGCUCCUCGCUGGCUCCAGGACCCGGCGGCGGCAGCGCGGGCAGGCGGGCGGCCGCGGACCCAGCGGAGACGCCGCGGCCUGGGGACCCAGGUGGACCCUCGGCCCGCGCGAGGAGGGGCGCAGGAGGCUCUCCAAGCCCCCAGCGAAUCGGCAGCCCCGAGGGUCAGCGCGCCGGGGUCCGAGCGGCUGCCCCGCUGAGCCCAGAAAAAGAGGCCAAGUCCCUUUUAGGGAUUGGGAAAAGUUUCAAAAGUCUUCUUGCUGAAAGCGAGUUUUUACUUUCCUCGGGCCACGCCCCCUCCCGGAACUUUGAGCCAAUCACCCGGCAGCUGAGAGGAGUCGGCGCCAAUCGGGGCGAGGAGCGCAGGAAUCCGUCGGCUCUAAGACCCCGCCGCCCCGGCCUCCGCGGCGACUCCGUCUUCACUUGAAAACUUUUUAAAAAGUUAUAUCUUAUUAAAAUUUAUUUUAUGAUCACAUUUUGGUGAAUGGGCCCACAUGCCCAAAACAAAAAGAUAGCCACUUUCCUCUGUUAAAAAAAAUCAAUUUGAAAUAUAAAAUAGAAUGGAUUAAUAGAGUAAAAUAUCUCUCCCAAAGACCUUGUAAGUAGCAAUGAUCCUGGGACAUUUUUCUUAUUAAUGAGUGAUGAAGCGAAUAAUUAGAUUUCCUAAUUAUGGGGGCCCAGGUGUAAUGGAUUCAAAGCAAACGCGCUGGAUUGGAAUGGCAGGGCCUCUCCUGGAUGUUAUACUUAUUUAAUCAAAUAAUUAAUCAUCAACAGGGAGUUUCCAGGCUCGGGGUCGUCAAGGAUAACCUAUCGAGGUUUUAGAGGUAAACCCUACAAACUGAGUUUCCCUCGCUCCCCGCCGAGGAGCCAGGCAGCGGAGUGCAUAGAGGGGAAGGUAGCAACGUGCUGACUGACAACUUAAUCCUCCGAAUUCGCGGGGAAUUCGGUAGAUCAUCCGCGUCGCUGCGAGCAGUUUUGUGGGGUUUGGGGAAAAGGGUGAAGUGACUCUGCUAUUUCCCCCUUUCGUCUCCCGCGUGGACACUCGCAGCCUACCAACUUCAGCUUCGAAACUCGUCUCCCUUUUCCCAGGUAGAAAUUCCCUCUAACAAGCUGACCCCGCACUCCCAGAAGACCGGGACAAUGCAGCGACCCACCCGGGCCAGGCAGAGCCGAGUUCCUGGGCCCUGCGAGGAGAAACCCGAGCCUGUUUUCCGCGGGGGCUUGGCUCGAAGGCGCGCGCAAUGAGCGCCGCGCACCGCGGGCACCAAGCGUGGACGUUUCCCGUGGCCCAGGCCGGCGCCGGCCGCUAACACCGACCCUAGGGCGCUGUCCCUGCCUCCUGCUCCUGGCAACGUCCCCCUGGGAGCCUCCAAGUUGCUUUUCUAUAUUUCAGCCUUUUUUUUGUUUUGUUGGGUGGGUAGGGUGAGUUAGGGAGCGCGCUCCGUGGGAAGACUGGGUGAGCGGUUGAUUGCAAACGGUUCAAGAUCCCUUCGGGAUGAUAUUAUUCGGCAGGCAGACCUGGAGCGACUUGGAUCUCCUUCAAGGAUUUCUCCUUCCCUCUAGGAAUCCCGGACAGUUUGUUUAUUUGUGGACUGAUUAUUUAUUCCUUCCACACCUCAAUAAUCAGAUCCCCUUUUCCCACUUUCCCUGAAGGAGUGAGACACCCCUUUAACAAGGCUAAACACGGGCAGAAUUUUGGAAGUUGCUGGUCUGGUUGGGCAGGGAAGAGGGCUUCAGGGAGAACAUUUGUAUUUCAGGUUUCCUUGCACCCUUCCUGGCUGUUCAUCGGCUGCGUAUUCGAUUCUCAGCAAAAGGAUGUUGAGACAACCCACCAGGCCUCUUCGCUUCGGCCUCUUCGCUUCGGGGAGGCGACUAGAAGGCAAUGGGGCGUGCCACUUAUUUCCAAUAAAAGAACAGAAGACGAAAAUGUAGAUGCAUUAUCUUUGUCUCCUGAUCAAUUCAAAGCCAAAGGGAAGCUACAAAUCAGGUUCCUUUACCUUGAAUAUUCCACUUCUGAAACAUUGUUUUUAUGAGUAUUCUGGGCUCUUUUUCUAACCUGAUCCUUUUUCUUCUUUCUUUGAAACAAAGUAAAAUAAAGCUGCCCAGUUCUCA